AGAACGAACGCUGGCGGCAGGCCUAACACAUGCAAGUCGAACGCUCUAGCAAUAGAGAGUGGCGCACGGGUGCGUAACGCGUGGGAAUCUACCCUUGACUGCGGAACAACAUCGGGAAACUGAUGCUAAUACCGCAUAAUGUCUUCGGACCAAAGAUUUAUCGGUCAAGGAUGAGCCCGCGUUGGAUUAGCUAGUUGGUGAGGUAAUGGCUCACCAAGGCUCCGAUCCAUAGCUGGUCUGAGAGGAUGAUCAGCCACACUGGGACUGAGACACGGCCCAGACUCCUACGGGAGGCAGCAGUGAGGAAUAUUGGACAAUGGGGGAAACCCUGAUCCAGCCAUGCCGCGUGAGUGAUGAAGGCCUUCGGGUUGUAAAACUCUUUUAGAUGUGACGAUGAUGACGGUAACAUCAGAAAAGCUCCGGCUAACUUCGUGCCAGCAGCCGC
rnacentral:rRNA from 1 species